rnacentral:rRNA from 1 species
UAGUCCACGCCGUAAACGAUGGAUACUAGCUGUGCGGACUCCGGUCUGCGUGGCUAAGCGAAAGUGAUAAGUAUCCCACCUGGGGAGUACGUUCGCAAGAAUGAAACUCAAAGGAAUUGACGGGGGCCCGCACAAGCGGUGGAGCAUGUGGUUUAAUUCGAUGAUACGCGAGGAACCUUACCAGGGCUUAAAUGUAGUGGGACAGGCGUGGAAACACGCCCUUCUUCGGACUCAUUACAAGGUGCUGCAUGGUUGUCGUCGGCUCGUGCCGUGAGGUGUCAGGUUAAGUCCUAUAACGAGCGCAACCCCUGUCGUUAGUUGCCAGCAUGUAAAGAUGGGAACUCUAGCGAGACUGCCGGUGCAAACCGCGAGGAAGGUGGGGAUGACGUCAAAUCAUCACGGCCCUUACGUCCUGGGCUACACACGUGCUACAAUGGCCGGUACAGAGGGCAGCCACACCGCAAGGUGGAGCGAAUCCUUAAAACCGGUCUCAGUUCGGAUCGGGGUCUGCAACUCCG